AGCUUUGCACAGUGGCAGUAUCAGAGCCAAUGAGGUUUAACCAAGGCAUGAUUAUUGCUCUUUGAAACAGAAUUCAGAAACCA
rnacentral:snRNA from 1 species